rnacentral:lncRNA from 1 species
AUGAGGAAGAACGGGAGGGAAGGAAAGGGGAAAGGACAGCAGGGAAGGGUAGAGGAGAGAAGGAAGGGGCUGUCCGAAGUCACAGGGCACUGGAGGGGCCAGGAUGUGAGGGGCUUCAAAGUUGUGCUCACGUUCUCAGCUGCAGUUAACACUGACCUCCUGUUAAAACAGCCAAGCUCAGGAUUCUUCGGAGCCCCAAGGGGAACUCUCGUGAACGUGAAAACCAAGGCCCAGGAAUCUAAAGUGAUUCACCCAAAAAUAUCCCAGCAGAGAAGGGGCACAGCCUGGAUUCAGACCCCGAAUGAUCCUCUAACGCUCUUAGAAGGAGUAGAGAAAGCAGGAUUUACACCUCUGAGCAAUGACCUCAGCAGUAUCCCCGUCUCCUGCUGUCACCCUUCCUCAUGGACGCCAGAUUCCCUGUCUCCCGUGCUGAUCAUUAGAGCAGGUCAGCAGGGGCCCAGCCCCACCCUGGACCUUCUGUGCUCACCCAUCAGCCUACAGAUGUCCCUGUAGUGACCAGGUCCUCCCUCCUGUGGCCUGCCCCAUGCAGACAAGAAACAGACUUGCACUUGGGCAGAGACAGGAGCAGGUAGGCAGGGAGGCCUGGUCUUACUUCUUUGCCAUAUUGUCACUGUCACCAGGCACCACCUGCCAGCCUAAAACAGAUCCUGGGUCCUCCUUCCUCA